rnacentral:rRNA from 1 species
UACGAAGGGGGCUAGCGUUGCUCGGAAUCACUGGGCGUAAAGCGCACGUAGGCGGAUUGCUAAGUCAGGGGUGAAAUCCUGGAGCUCAACUCCAGAACUGCCUUUGAUACUGGCGACCUUGAGUCCGGGAGAGGUGAGUGGAACUGCGAGUGUAGAGGUGAAAUUCGUAGAUAUUCGGAAGAACACCAGUGGCGAAGGCGACUUACUGGACGAUUGUUGACGCUGAGGUGCGAAAGCGUGGGGAGCAAACAGG